AGCAGCCGCGGUAAUUCCAGCUCCAAUAGCGUAUAUUAAAGUUGUUGCAGUUAAAAAGCUCGUAGUUGAACUUCGGGGUUUACCCAUUGGUCAGGCUUAAUUGUCUGUACUGGUGAGAUAAAUCUCUACCUUCUGAGGAACUUUCAUGUCAUUAAUUUGGUGUGAUUGGAAAUCAGGACUGUUACUUUGAAAAAUUAGAGUGUUUAAAGCAGGCUAACGUCUGAAUACAUUAGCAUGGAAUAAUGAAAUAGGACGGACUGAUUCUAUUUCGUUGGUUUCUAGGACCACCGUAAUGAUUAAUAGGGAUAGUUGGGGGCAUUAGUAUUCAAUUGUCAGAGGUGAAAUUCUUGGAUUUAUUGAAGACUAACUACUGCGAAAGCAUUUGCCAAGGAUGUUUUCAUUAAUCAAGAACGAAAGUUAGGGGAUCGAAGACGAUCAGAUACCGUCGUA
rnacentral:rRNA from 1 species